rnacentral:rRNA from 1 species
AGCAGCCGCGGUAAUUCCAGCUCCAAUAGCGUAUAUUAAAGUUGUUGCAGUUAAGCUCGUAGUUGAAUUUCGGGAUCAAUAUGCUGGUCGUGCCAUUGGUACGUACUAGUAUUAUUGGUUUCUUCCUUCUGAUGAAUCAUGAUGUCAUUAAGUUGAUGUCAUGGGGAAUCAGGACUGUUACUUUGAAAAAUUAGAGUGUCUAAAGCAGGCUCGCGCUUGAAUACAUUAGCAUGGAAUAAUGAAAUAGGACGUUUGAUUCUAUUUUGUUGGUUUCUAGGAUUGACGUAAUGAUUAAUAGGGAUAGUUGGGGGCAUUAGUAUUCAAUUGUCAGAGGUGAAAUUCUUGGAUUUAUUGAAGACUAACUACUGCGAAAGCAUUUGCCAAGGAUGUUUUCAUUAAUCAAGAACGAAAGUUAGGGGAUCGAAGACGAUCAGAUACCGUCGUAGUCUUAACCAUAAACUAUGCCGACUAGGGAUCGGAUGAUGUUAAUUUUU